rnacentral:rRNA from 1 species
UACAGAGGGUGCAAGCGUUGUUCGGAAUUAUUGGGCGUAAAGCGCACGUAGGCGGUCCUGUAAGUCGGGUGUGAAAGCCCCAGGCUUAACCUGGGAAGUGCACUCGAAACUGUAGGGCUUGAGUAUGGAAGAGGGUCGCGGAAUCCCCCGGUGUAGAGGUGAAAUUCGUAGAUAUCGGGGGGGAACACCAGUGGCGAAGGCGGCGACCUGGGCCAAUACUGACGCUGAGGUGCGAAAGCGUGGGGAGCAAACAGG